rnacentral:lncRNA from 1 species
UGGGGGUGACCGUCUUGUCGAACAGGUGCUCCCGCGCGGCGGCCGCCGCAGCCGCCGGAGAGGGAGACGGGGAGGAGUGGGCGUUGGCGAGCGCCGAGGUCGUCGGCGCGGACGCGGCGGCGGCGAAGGCGCGCUUGUUCUGGGCGAGCUCGUCGAAGUAGGUGUGCUUUCGGAGCAUGUCGACGACCUCGGCCUUGGAGCGUGACACGAGGAAGCGGAGCUCGGCGGCGGCGUCCGGGUCGGCGUCCGCGAGCGGGCGGAAGUUGGUGACGGCGUCGCGGCCGCGGAACCGCUGCGCGGCGACGUCGUAGGCGCGCGCGGCGUCGGUCUCCCCCGCGAAGGUGCCGAGCCACACGCGCUGGUGGCGCUCGUAGAUCUGCGCGCCCCACCGCCCGUUGGGCUGCGGCACCACGCCCUU